rnacentral:snRNA from 1 species
ACAAAGGCCCUACCUACAUCUCC